rnacentral:rRNA from 1 species
AACGCGAAGAACCUUACCUGGGCUCGAACGGCUCACGAACGUCCUUGGAAACAGGGAUUUCCCGCAAGGGACGGGAGUCGAGGUGCUGCAUGGCUGUCGUCAGCUCGUGUCGUGAGAUGUUGGGUUAAGUCCCGCAACGAGCGCAACCCUUGUCCUGUGUUACCAUGCCGAAAGGCGGCACUCGCAGGAGACCGCCAGCGAUAAGCUGGAGGAAGGUGGGGAUGACGUCAAGUCCUCAUGGCCUUUAUGUCCAGGGCUACACACGUGCUACAAUGGGCGGUACAAAGCGCUGCUAAGCCGCAAGGUGGAGCCAAUCGCAAAAAGCCGCUCUCAGUUCGGAUUGCAGGCUGCAACUCGCCUGCAUGAAGCUGGAAUCGCUAGUAAUGCUAUAUCAGAACGAUAGCGUGAAUACGUUCCCGGGCCUUGUACACACCGUACGUC